AUGAACUCUGGUAACAUGCCUUGUUUGUGUUCUGACACCUAAGCAUCAGUGUUGCACUGAUGUUCUUUAUUGAAGAAAGAAUAACUAAAACAAUUUUAAUCAUAAUUUAUGUUUUUAUGUUUCAACAGGUAACCCAUUAUUAACCAGCAAAGUCAACAUACUAAUUAAUGUCUUAGAUGUCAAUGAAUUUCCUCCAGAAAUAUCUGUGCCAUAUGAGACAGCCGUCUGUGAAAAUGCAAAACCAGGACAGAUAAUUCAGAUAGUCAGUGCUGCAGAUCGAGAUCUUUCACCUGCUGGGCAGCAGUUCUCCUUUAGAUUAUCCCCUGAGGCUGCCAUCAAACCAAAUUUUACAGUCCGUGACUUCAGAAACAACACAGCUGGAAUUGAAACCAGAAGAAAUGGAUACAGCCGCAGACAGCAAGAGUUGUAUUUCCUCCCUGUUGUAAUAGAAGACAGCAGCUACCCUGUCCAGAGCAGUACAAACACAAUGACUAUUCGAGUUUGUAGGUGUGACUCUGACGGUACUAUCCUGUCGUGUAAUGUGGAAGCAAUUUUUCUGCCUGUCGGAUUGAGCACUGGCGCUUUAAUUGCAAUCCUACUAUGCAUCGUUAUACUUUUAGGUUAGUUUCAACAUUGAUCAAGUUCUCUCUCUCACACUCCUAUGUCUCUGUCUCUGUUUCUGUCUCUCUCUUUCUCUUUCUAGAGCGCAUGGUCUCCCCCUCAGUUUACCAUGUAAAUAGAUUUUUGUUC